UAAAUCUCAGAGGAAAACUACUAUAGUUUAUCCUAGACUGUUGUCUGACCUUCUGUAUCAAGGUCAUGUUGUUCAGAACUUGAGGAAAUUCCACCCUGAAUUGGUUGAGAAGAGGUUCUAUCCAGAAAUUCUGAACGCCAACUUUCUGUCCAAGAUGCGCUUGAUUGCAUCUAAGCCUGUUGCUCCCCCACAAGAGUUCACUGUUAGGCUUGAGGAUCGUCUGUAUGUCGCAGGCUAUCCACUCAUAUCAGAAGCUGAUGCUGAGCACAUUAUUCA
rnacentral:lncRNA from 1 species